rnacentral:rRNA from 1 species
UACGUAGGGGGCAAGCGUUGUCCGGAUUUAUUGGGCGUAAAGAGCGUGUAGGCGGCUAGGUAGGUCCGUUGUGAAAACUCGAGGCUCAACCUCGAGACGUCGAUGGAAACCAUCUAGCUAGAGUCCGGAAGAGGAGAGUGGAAUUCCUGGUGUAGCGGUGAAAUGCGCAGAUAUCAGGAGGAACACCGGUGGCUAAGGCGGCUCUCUAGUACGGUACUGACGCUGAGACGCGAAAGCGUGGGGAGCGAACAGG